CGCCCAACGUGGGAUUUGAACCCACGACUCUGAAAUUGAUUCUCAUGCUCUACCGACUGAACUAACUGGGC